GAUGAACGCUGGCGGCGUGCCUAAUACAUGCAAGUCGAGCGAACAGACGAGGAUCUUGCUCCUCUGACGUUAGCGGCGGACGGGUGAGUAACACGUGGAUAACCUACCUAUAAGACUGGGAUAACUUCGGGAAACCGGCGCUAAUACCGUAUAAUAUAUUGAACCGCAUUGUUCAAUAGUGAAAGACGGCUUUGCUGUCACUUCUAGCUGCAUCCGCGCCGUAUUAGCUAGUUGGUAAGGUAACGGCUUACCAAGGCAACGAUGCGUAGACGACCUGAGAGGGUGAUAGGCCACACUGGAACUGAGACACGGUCCAGACGACUACGGGAGGCAGCAGUAGGGAAUGGUACGCAAUGGGCGAAAGCAUGACGGAGCAAGGGCGAGUGAGUGAUGAAGGUCUUCGGAUCGUAAUAAUGUGUUAUGAGGGAAGAACAAAUGUGUAAGUAAAUAUGCACGUCUUGACGGUACCGAAUCAGAAAGCCACGGCUAACUACGUG
rnacentral:rRNA from 1 species